rnacentral:rRNA from 1 species
UGGUCAACAGAGGGAAGCAAAACCGCGAGGUGGAGCAAAUCCCUAAAAGCCAUCCCAGUUCGGAUCGCAGGCUGCAACCCGCCUGCGUGAAGUCGGAAUCGCUAGUAAUCGCGGAUCAGCAUGCCGCGGUGAAUACGUUCCCGGGCCUUGUACACACCGCCCGUCACACCAUGAGAGUCGGGAACACCCGAAGUCCGUAGUCUAACCGCAAGGGGGACGCGGCCGAAGGUGGGUUCGAUAAUUGGGGUGAAGUCGUAACAAGGUAAC